rnacentral:rRNA from 1 species
GCUGCAUGGCUGUCGUCAGCUCGUGUUGUGAAAUGUUGGGUUAAGUCCCGUAACGAGCGCAACCCCUAUCCUUAUUUGCCAGCACUUCGGGUGGGAACUCUAAGGAGACUGCCGGUGACAAACCGGAGGAAGGUGGGGAUGACGUCAAGUCAUCAUGGCCCUUACGAGUAGGGCUACACACGUGCUACAAUGGCCGGUACAGAGGGCUGCAAACUCGCGAGGGUAAGCUAAUCUCACAAAACCGGUCGUAGUCCGGAUUGGAGUCUGCAACUCGACUCCAUGAAGUCGGAAUCGCUAGUAAUCGUGAAUCAGAAUGUCACGGUGAAUACGUUCCCGGGUCUUGUACACACCGAA